CGUGCAGGAUCGAGAGGUAGAAAUAGUUGCUCUUUUCCUUAAUAGAUUGAAGGGUACUCAAACUUAUUAAAAUUGUUUGUCUUUUCUGUCUGAUUAGUAAUCUGUUGAAAAAUUAGGCCCCGCAAAUAAAAUAUAAAGUAGAUAAGAUAUGAAAUAUGAAGAAAAUGAAAAAUAGCAUGUUGAUGACAAUAUAUUUAGAAGCCAUUCUAAUUAGUUAAACUUGCAAGUUUAUUCUUAUUUGUUCUUAAUAUCACAUGUAGAGAGAAGUGUUAUAUUCCACAAAGACUUGUCAUACUUUUUAAUAAUAUAAGUCUCUUUCAGUAUUUGUUGGAAAGCUUCUGCUUAUUGACUCGCAUAUAUACGCAUAGAAAUAAUCUUAGUGAUGGUGCUUGCAGGUUGCUGCUGGAUUGUUUUCUAUGUGCGUGAGAUGAGUAAAGUAAAAAGUGGCAAUGAGUGAAAGAGGAAAAGAAAACUGGUAGUUAAACAAGUCAGUAUGAUCUACAAUCUAUCAAAGCACCUAAAUAUUUUUAUCUGGAUCUGCACCUUAUCUCAUAUAAGGCAACAAUAGUACGUUAGUUUAUUUGAUAACUUGUUUACUCAUACUUCUUAAUUCUAUUCUGAUAAAUGAAAUGGUAGAAUUAAUUUAUAAGUAUUUCUCUAGUAGCCAUAUUUCUAUUUAUUUUAAAAGUUUAUUUGCCAAGUACUUCAACGACUUUUAUCCGCUAAGAGUGCUGAUCUUUUUAAGAUUUUUGAGAAAAUUAGAUUUUCCCCUUUCAAUAUCCCCCUUCCCCCCUCCAAUUAAUGCUUUCACAUAUUUAAACCCCUCCAACAUUAUAGUACUCAUCUAAUAUUAUCUAAUUGCAUCUGGCAUAGAGAGUUUUUUCAAAUAGUAGCAGGCUAUAACAAACAAUGCAUAUUUUUUUGUCUCAAUUGCAGGUAUGGGAAGGCAAAACCACUGAAAAUAACAAAGAGAUUACAAUUAGGGAACUUAAGGCCCAAAAACUUUCAGAAGUUUUUGCUCAUUUGAACAAGGAAAGCUCACAUGUUGCUUAGAUUACUAGAGUGGUCAAGCUGCCGAAAAUAGAUCAGUUGCAAAAUUAGGAGAUUGGUGUGAAGGGUGAUAAGGACCAAGGGAU
rnacentral:lncRNA from 1 species